ACGGGUGAGUAAUGUGUGAGCAACCUACCUCCAGGAGAGGGACAACCCGGGGAAACCUGGGCUAAUACCGCAUAACGUCCGGGGGCUACGGCCUCUGGAUCAAAGAUGGCCUCUGCUUGCAAGCUAUCGCCGGGAGAUGGACUCACAUCCUAUCAUGCUUGUUGGUGAGGUAAUGGCCCACCAAGGCGGUGACGGGUAGCCGGCCUGAGAGGGUGUCCGGCCACACUGGAACUGAGACACGGUCCAGACUCCUACGGGAGGCAGCAGUGGGGAAUAUUUCGCAAUGGGCGAAAGCCUGACGAAGCAACGCCGCGUGGAGGAUGAAGGCCCUAGCGGUCUUAAACUCCUGUCUAGUGGGAAGAAAGAUUUGCAGACAAAUAGCCUGCAGAUUUGACGGUACCGCUGGAGGAAGCACCGGCCAACUCCGUGCCAGCAGCCGCGGUAAUACGGGGGGUGCAAGCGUUACUCGGAAUUACUGGGCGUAAAGGGCGCGUAGGCGGUCUUGUAAGUCCUGUGUGAAAUCCCCGGGCCUAACCCGGGAAGUGCACGGGAUACUGUGAGACUUGAGUGCAGGAGAGGAAGG
rnacentral:rRNA from 1 species